GGCCUGAAUGUGGCAUAGUGGUUUGAGCGUUGGACUAUGACUCUAGAGACCUGGGUUCAAUUCCCUGCUUGGCCA